AAUCAACGCUGGCGGCGCGCCUAACACAUGCAAGUCGAACGAGAAAGCCGCAAGGUGAGUAAAGUGGCGUACGGGUGAGUAACACGUGGAUAAUCUGCCCUUUAGUGGGGAAUACCGCUGGGAAACCGGCGACAAUACCGCAUAAGCUCGAGAGAGGAAAGCAGCAAUGCGCUGAAGGAGGAGUCCGCGGCCGAUUAGUUAGUUGGCGGGGUAAAGGCCCACCAAGACUGUGAUCGAUAGCCGGCCUGAGAGGGCACACGGCCACACUGGCACUGAAACACGGGCCAGACUCCUACGGGAGGCAGCAGUGGGGAAUCUUGCACAAUGGGGGAAACCCUGAUGCAGCGACGCCGCGUGAGCGAUGAAGCCCCUCGGGGUGUAAAGCUCUUUCGGCAGGGAAGAUUAUGACGGUACCUGCAAAAGCAGCUGCGGCUAACUACGUGCCAGCAGCCGCGGUAAUACGUAGGCAGCAAGCGUUGUUCGGAGUUACUGGGCGUAAAGGGUGCGUAGGCGGCUUUUUAAGUUUGGUGUGAAAUCUCCCGGCUCAACUGGGAGGGUGCGCCGAAUACUGAGAGGCUAGAGUGUGGGAGAGGAAAGUGGAAUUCCUGGUGUAGCGGUGAAAUGCGUAGAUAUCAGGAGGAACACCGGUGGUGUAAACGGCUUUCUGGACCAUAACUGACGCUGAGGCACGAAAGCGUGGGUAGCAAACAGGAUUAGAUACCCUGGUAGUCCACGCCCUAAACGAUGCAUAUUUGGUGUGGGCCAUUCAUUUGGUCUGUGCCGGAGCUAACGCGUUAAAUAUGCCGCCUGGGG
rnacentral:rRNA from 1 species